UGAAAAUGCGUAGAUAUAUGGGAAGAAACACCAGUGGCGAAGGCCGGCUGUCUGGUCUGCAACUGACGCUGAGGCUCGAAAAGCAUGGGUAGCGAACAGGAUUAGAUACCCUGGUAGUCCAUGCCGUAAACGAUGAUUACUAAAGUGUUGGAGGGUUUCCGCCCUUCAGUGCUGCAGCUAACGCAUUAAGUAAUCCGCCUGGGGAGUACGACCGCAAGGUUGAAACUCAAAAGAAUUGACGGGGGCCCGCACAAGCGGUGGAGCAUGUGGUUUAAUUCGAAGCUACGCGAAGAACCUUACCAGGUCUUGACAUCUUCUGACAGUCUAAGAGAUUAGAGGUUCCCUUCGGGGACAGAAUGACAGGUGGUGCAUGGUUGUCGUCAGCUCGUGUCGUGAGAUGUUGGGUUAAGUCCCGCAACGAGCGCAACCCUUAUUACUAGUUGCCAGCAUUAAGUUGGGCACUCUAGUGAGACUGCCGGUGACAAACCGGAGGAAGGUGGGGACGACGUCAAAUCAUCAUGCCCCUUAUGACCUGGGCUACACACGUGCUACAAUGGAUGGUACAACGAGUCGCGAGACCGCGAGGUUAAGCUAAUCUCUUAAAACCAUUCUCAGUUCGGACUGUAGGCUGCAACUCGCCUACACGAAGUCGGAAUCGCUAGUAAUCGCGGAUCAGCAUGCCGCGGUGAAUACGUUCCCGGGCCUUGUACACACCGCCCGUCACACCAUGAGAGUUUGUAACACCCAAAGCCGGUGGGGUAACCUUUUAGGAGCUAGCCGUCUAAGGUGGGACAGAUGAUUAGGGUGAAGUCGUAACA
rnacentral:rRNA from 1 species